rnacentral:rRNA from 1 species
AGCUUGCUCCCUGAAGUCAGCGGCGGACGGGUGAGUAACACGUGGGCAACCUGCCUGUAAGACUGGGAUAACUCCGGGAAACCGGGGCUAAUACCGGAUAAUUCUUUCCCUCACAUGAGGGAAAGCUGAAAGAUGGUUUCGGCUAUCACUUACAGAUGGGCCCGCGGCGCAUUAGCUAGUUGGUGAGGUAACGGCUCACCAAGGCAACGAUGCGUAGCCGACCUGAGAGGGUGAUCGGCCACACUGGGACUGAGACACGGCCCAGACUCCUACGGGAGGCAGCAGUAGGGAAUCUUCCGCAAUGGACGAAAGUCUGACGGAGCAACGCCGCGUGAGUGAUGAAGGUUUUCGGAUCGUAAAACUCUGUUGUUAGGGAAGAACAAGUACCGGAGUAACUGCCGGUACCUUGACGGUACCUAACCAGAAAGCCACGGCUAACUACGUGCCAGCAGCCGCGGUAAUACGUAGGUGGCAAGCGUUGUCCGGAAUUAUUGGGCGUAAAGCGCGCGCAGGCGGUUCCUUAAGUCUGAUGUGAAAGCCCCCGGCUCAACCGGGGAGGGUCAUUGGAAACUGGGGAACUUGAGUGCAGAAGAGAAGAGUGGAAUUCCACGUGUAGCGGUGAAAUGCGUAGAGAUGUGGAGGAACACCAGUGGCGAAGGCGACUCUUUGGUCUGUAACUGACGCUGAGGCGCGAAAGCGUGGGGAGCAAACAGGAUUAGAUACCCUGGUAGUCCACGCCGUAAACGAUGAGUGCUAAGUGUUAGAGGGUUUC